GACGAACGCUGGCGGCGUGCUUAACACAUGCAAGUCGAACGGAGUGCCUAUGAUAGAGACUUCGGUCAAUGGAUUAGGUUACUUAGUGGCGGACUGGUGAGUAACGCGUGAGGAACCUGCCUUUCAGAGGGGACAACAGUUGGAAACGACUGCUAAUACCGCAUGACACAUCGAUGGGGCAUCCCAUUGAUGUCAAAGAUUUAUCGCUGAAAGAUGGCCUCGCGUCUGAUUAGAUAGUUGGCGGGGUAACGGCCCACCAAGUCGACGAUCAGUAGCCGGACUGAGAGGUUGACCGGCCACAUUGGGACUGAGAUACGGCCCAGACUCCUACGGGAGGCAGCAGUGGGGAAUAUUGGGCAAUGGACGCAAGUCUGACCCAGCAACGCCGCGUGAAGGAAGAAGGCUUUCGGGUUGUAAACUUCUUUUGUCAGGGAAGAGCAGAAGUACGGUACCUGGACAAUAAGCCACGGCUAACUACGUAGCCAGCAGCCGU
rnacentral:rRNA from 1 species